rnacentral:rRNA from 1 species
GUCCGCUAACGAGCGCAACCCUCACUGUGUGUUAUAUGUGUCACACGGGACUGCCGGUUUUAAGUCCGGAGGAAGGUGGGGAGUGACGUCAAGUCAGCAUGGCCUUUAUAUCCUGGGCUACACACACGCUACAAUGGUCGGUACAAUAGGUUGCCAAGCCGCGAGGCGGAGCCAAUCCAAAAAAAGCCGGCCUCAGUUCAGAUUGUAGGCUGCAACUCGCCUGCAUGAAGAUGGAGUUGCUAGUAACCGCAGGUCAGCAAUACUGCGGUGAAUACGUUCCCGGGUCUU